AGAGUUUGAUCAUGGCUCAGAAUGAACGCUGGCGGCAGGCCUAACACAUGCAAGUCGAGCGGGCACCUUCGGGUGCUAGCGGCGGACGGGUGAGUAACGCGUGGGAACAUACCCUUUGGUACGGAAUAGCCUCGGGAAACUGAGAGUAAUACCGUAUGUGGUCGUAAGACGAAAGAUUUAUCGCCAAAGGAUUGGCCCGCGUUGGAUUAGGUAGUUGGUGGGGUAAUGGCCUACCAAGCCGACGAUCCAUAGCUGGUUUGAGAGGAUGAUCAGCCACACUGGGACUGAGACACGGCCCAGACUCCUACGGGAGGCAGCAGUGGGGAAUCUUAGACAAUGGGCGCAAGCCUGAUCUAGCCAUGCCGCGUGAUCGAUGAAGGCCUUAGGGUUGUAAAGAUCUUUCAGUGGGGAAGAUAAUGACGGUACCCACAGA
rnacentral:rRNA from 1 species